rnacentral:rRNA from 1 species
CUUUUAAGUCUAAUGUGAAAGCCUUCGGCUCAACCCGAAGAAGUGCAUUGGAAACUGGGAGGACUUGAGUGCAGAAGAGGACAGUGGAACUCCAUGUGUAGCGGUGAAAUGCGUAGAUAUAUGGAAGAACACCAGUGGCGAAGGCGGCUGUCUGGUCUGUAACUGACGCUGAGGCUCGAAAGCAUGGGUAGCGAACAGGAUUAGAUACCCUGGUAG